rnacentral:rRNA from 1 species
ACCAGCACCCCGAGUGGUCGGGACGAUUAUUGGGCCUAAAGCAUCCGUAGCCGGUUCUGCAAGUCCUCCGUUAAAUCCAGCUGCUCAACAGAUGGGCCGCGGAGGAUACUACAGAGCUAGGAGGCAGGAGAGGCAAGCGGUACUCAGUGGGUAGGGGUAAAAUCCUCUGAUCCAUUGAGGACCACCAGUGGCGAAGGCGGUCUGCCAGAACACGUUCGACGGUGAGGGAUGAAAGCUGGGGGAGCAAACCGGA